rnacentral:pre_miRNA from 1 species
UAACAUCACAGGCUGGCCAGCCCCAGGCUGAGCUGGGAGAGUAUCUCUUUGAAAGGCUCACCUCCAAGCAUGACUUGGAGC